GGUAUGUAGCUCAUAGGUAGAGUGCUUGCCUAGCAAGCACAAGGCCCUGGGUUCAAUCUCCAGCACUG
rnacentral:tRNA from 1 species